rnacentral:rRNA from 1 species
GGACUACUGGGGUUUCUAAUCCUGUUCGCUACCCACGCUUUCGUGCAUCAGCGUCAGUAUAACUUUAGCAGGCUGCCUUCGCUAUCGGUGUUCUAUGACAUAUCUAUGCAUUUCACCGCUACAUGUCAUAUUCCGCCUGCUUCAUGUUAACUCAAGACCUACAGUAUCAGAGGCAGUUCGACAGUUGAGCUGCCGGAUUUCACCCCUGACUUAUAAGCCCGCCUACGCACCCUUUAAACCCAAUGAAUCCGGAUAACGCUUGCAUCCUCCGUAUUACCGCGGCUGCUGGCAC